UGGGGAAUCUUCCGCAAUGGACGAAAGUCUGACGGAGCAACGCCGCGUGUAUGAUGAAGGUCUUCGGAUUGUAAAGUACUGUCAUUGGGGAAGAACGGUUUUCUUGAAAAGAUUGAGAAGACAUGACGGUACCCAAGGAGGAAGCCCCGGCUAACUACGUGCCAGCAGCCGCGGUAAUACGUAGGGGGCAAGCGUUGUCCGGAAUUAUUGGGCGUAAAGGGCGCGUAGGCGGGCUUUUAAGUCCGGUGUGAAAGAUCAGGGCUCAACCCUGAGAGUGCAUCGGAAACUGGAGGCCUUGAGGACAGGAGAGGAAAGUGGAAUUCCACGUGUAGCGGUGAAAUGCGUAGAUAUGUGGAGGAACACCAGUGGCGAAGGCGACUUUCUGGACUGUAACUGACGCUGAGGCGCGAAAGCGUGGGGAGCAAACAGGAUUAGAUACCCUGGUAGUCCACGCCGUAAACGAUGAGUGCUAGGUGUAGAGGGUAUCGACCCCUUCUGUGCCGCAGUUAACACAAUAAGCACUCCCGCCUGGGAGUACGGCCGCAAGGUUGAAACUUAAAUGAAUUGACGGGGUCAUAGCUGUUUCCU
rnacentral:rRNA from 1 species